AGGGCCUCAGGAAUCAGCCAGCUACCAGCCUCCUUCUAAUCCCUACUAUUAUGUGGAUGGAGACCCCCACUUCAUCAUCCAAGUCCGAGGGAAUAAGGAUGCCAUCUGCUUCAACAUUGAUGAAGAACCAGGCACAGUGCUGCGCCUCAUUCAAGACCCCAUUACAGGCUUAACAGUAAAUGGGCAGAUCACUGAUGACAAGGGAAACGGCUCAAACUCUAAGAACAAAAAGACUUACUUUGGCAAAGUGGGCAUUGUCAACGCUCCAAUGGACUUCUGGAUUUAGGUGACCACAGAGAUUACUCUGCAGAAUGGGGCUGCCCAGAGUACUUUCAGCUGGCUGGAUACGGUCACGGUCACCUCAGAAAGGUUCUCCUUGAAGAUCAACAGGGAGGCUCUGGUGAUCUCCUUUGGAGAAGGGAUUACUUUUAAGGUGGUUCUGC